rnacentral:rRNA from 1 species
CACGUAGGGUGCGAGCGUUGUCCGGAUUUACUGGGCGUAAAGAGCGUGUAGGCGGCCACGCAGGUCCGUUGUGAAAACUGGAGGCUCAACCUUCAGACGUCGACGGAAACCGUGUGGCUAGAGUCCGGAAGAGGAGAGUGGAAUUCCUGGUGUAGCGGUGAAAUGCGCAGAUAUCAGGAAGAACACCUACGGCGAAGGCAGCUCGCUGGGACGGUACUGACGCUGAGACGCGAAAGCGUGGGGAGCAAACAGG